UGGAAUAUCGCCAAGCGGUAAGGCAGCAGGUUUUGAUCCUGCCAUUCCCAGGUUCAAA
rnacentral:tRNA from 1 species